rnacentral:rRNA from 1 species
GUCCUAGCCCUAAACGAUGAUCGCUUGGUGUAGCAGGUACCCAAUCCUGCUGUGCCGUAGCUAACGCGUUAAGCGAUACGCCUGGGGAGUACGGUAGCAAGGCUGAAACUCAAAGGAAUUGACGGGGGCCCCGCACAAGCGGUGGAGCAUGUGGUUCAAUUCGACGCAACGCGAAGAACCUUACCUGGGCUCGAAGCGCAGUGGACUGCGGUAGAAAUACCGCUUUCUCGCAAGAGACUGCUGCGUAGGUGCUGCAUGGCUGUCGU